rnacentral:rRNA from 1 species
AUUGAACGCUGGCGGCAGGCCUAACACAUGCAAGUCGAGCGGAUGAAGGGAGCUUGCUCCUGGAUUCAGCGGCGGACGGGUGAGUAAUGCCUAGGAAUCUACCUGGUAGUGGGGGAUAACGUCCGGAAACGGGCGCUAAUACCGCAUCCGUCCUGAGGGAGAAAGUGGGGGAUCUUCGGACCUCACGCUAUCAGAUGAGCCUAGGUCGGAUUAGCUAGUUGGUGGGGUAAAGGCCUACCAAGGCGACGAUCCGUAACUGGUCUGAGAGGAUGAUCAGUCACACUGGAACUGAGACACGGUCCAGACUCCUACGGGAGGCAGCAGUGGGGAAUAUUGGACAAUGGGCGAAAGCCUGAUCCAGCCAUGCCGCGUGUGUGAAGAAGGUCUUCGGAUUGUAAAGCACUUUAAGUUGGGAGGAAGGGCAGUAAGUUAAUACCUUGCUGUUUUGACGUUACCAACAGAAUAAGCACCGGCUAACUUCGUG